rnacentral:rRNA from 1 species
CAAUAGCGUAUAUUAAAGUUGUUGCAGUUAAAAAGCUCGUAGUUGGAUUUCUGUUCUUGGGAUCUGGUCCGCCUCACGGUGAGCACUGGAUAACUGGGGACAUCCUCUCGAAGGCGGCAGGUGCACUUGAUUGUGUGUUUGUUGAAUUCGGGACCUUUACUUUGAAAAAAUUAGAGUGUUCAAAGCAGGCGUCGGCUUGAAUACAUUAGCAUGGAAUAAUGGAAUAGGACUUUGGUUCUAUUUUGUUGGUUUCUAGGACCGAAGUAAUGAUUAAUAGGGACAGUUGGGGGCAUUAGUAUUUAAUUGUCAGAGGUGAAAUUCUCGGAUUUAUGAAAGACUAACUACUGCGAAAGCAUUUGCCAAGGAUGUUUUCAUUAA